rnacentral:rRNA from 1 species
UGCCAGCAGCCGCGGUAACACGGGGGGCGCAAGCGUUGUUCGGAAUCAUUGGGCUUAAAGAGCACGUAGGCGGUACUGUAAGUUGGAGGUGAAAUCCCAUCGGCUCAACCGUGGAAUUGCCCCCAAAACUGCAGAACUAGAGAGAGUAAGGGGUACGUGGAACUUCCAGUGGAGCGGUGAAAGGUGUUGAUAUUGGAAGGAACGCCAGUGGCGAAAGCGAAGUACUGGGCCUCUUCUGAAGCUGAGUUGCGAAAGCUAGGGUAGAGAACGGGAUUAGAUA